AGCGAACGCUGGCGGCAGGCUUAACACAUGCAAGUCGAACGCUCCGCAAGGGGAGUGGCAGACGGGUGAGUAACACGUGGGAACGUACCCUUUGGUUCGGAAUAACUCAGGGAAACUUGAGCUAAUACCGGAUAAGCCCUUAUGGGGAAAGAUUUAUCGCCGAAGGAUCGGCCCGCGUCCGAUUAGCUAGUUGGUGAGGUAACGGCUCACCAAGGCGACGAUCGGUAGCUGGUCUGAGAGGAUGAUCAGCCACACUGGGACUGAGACACGGCCCAGACUCCUACGGGAGGCAGCAGUGGGGAAUAUUGGACAAUGGGGGCAACCCUGAUCCAGCCAUGCCGCGUGAGUGAUGAAGGCCCUAGGGUUGUAAAGCUCUUUCGGCGGG
rnacentral:rRNA from 1 species